rnacentral:rRNA from 1 species
GAUGAACGCUGGCGGCGUGCUUAACACAUGCAAGUCGAACGGUGAACGAGGGAGCUUGCUCCCUCCGGAUCAGUGGCGAACGGGUGAGUAACACGUGAGCAAUCUGCCCUGGACUCUGGGAUAAGCGUUGGAAACGACGUCUAAUACCGGAUACGAGGCGGGGGGGCAUCCCCAACGCCUGGAAAGAACUUCGGUCCAGGAUGAGGCCGCGGCCUAUCAGCUAGUUGGUGAGGUAACGGCUGACCAAGGCGAAGACGGGUAGCGCGGCCUGAGAGGGUGACCGGCCACACUGGGACUGAGACACGGCCCAGACUCCGACGGGAGGCAGCAGUGGGGAAUAUUGCACAAUGGGCGCAAGCCUGAUGCAGCAACGCCGCGUGAGGGACGACGGCCUUCGGGUUGCAAACCUCUUUUAGCAGGGAAGAAGCGAAAGUGACGGUACCUGCAGGAAAAGCACCGGCUAACUACGUGCCAGCAGCCGCCGUAAUAC